rnacentral:rRNA from 1 species
CAGUAGCCACGGUAAUACGUAGGUGGCAAGCGUUGUCCGGAAUUAUUGGGCGUAAAGGGCUCGCAGGCGGUUUCUUAAGUCUGAAGUUAAAGGCAUUGGCUUAACCAAUGUAUGCUUUGGAAACUGUUAGACUUGAGUGCAGAAGGGGAGAGUGGAAUUCCACGUGUAGCGGUGAAAUGCGUAGAGAUGUGGAGGAACACCAGUGGCGAAGGCGACUCUCAGGUCUGUAACUGACGCUGAGGAGCGAAAGCGUGGGGAGCGAACAGGAUUAGAUACCCCCGUAGUCCCUGUCUCUUAUACA